UCGGAGUUUUGCACCUAUGGGCGGAAAAAAGUUGUUAAUUGACGUCAAGAGAAGCAUUGCAUACAGUAAAUAUGAUGUGAGCUAAUGCUACAUAUAUAGUGUCGGGUUAAAGAGGAGUACAAGGAAUUGCAAAUGGCUGAUCAAAAUUUGUGCUAGUUAAACACGAAUGCAGUGAAACCAAUGCGGGAAGUUCUCAAUCAUACCUGAAAAUAGACCAGCGCUUUAAGAGUGGCAAGAAAAGAAAACCAGUUGUACUUGCACUACGGUUUGUGUAAAUGAAGCAUCUGGCCGCAGUGAGACGGGAAUAAGAAGAAACAACUUAGCUAGCCCUUCUCAGGGCAGCUUAGCUUGGCAAGAGAUCCCAGGUUAGAUUUUUUCAACAAACCUCCCAUGACCCACGACCUCCCACGACCUCCUCUGGCGCUCCCACGGGCGGCAGGGGAGGAAGCCCUAGCCGCCGCUGGACCGCGACCCCCUCCCCCUUUCCUCCCCUUGCCGCCGCCAGGGCGUGCCGGUGGGCGAAGCUCGCCCGACAUGGGCGGUGGCGGGGCGCUUUCUCCUUCUCGCGAGGCGGGAUCGCCAUUGGGCAAUCUACCCUGGCCUGAACGCGGCGUGGUGCGGGGCUUGGCGAUGCUGGGCUGCCACGGUGGCGGGCGUGGAGGACUGCACGAGGUGGGCUGCGUGUUGGUGAUGGCAACGACGACCGAUGGUCGACCUGCCGGAUCUUGACGGCGCGGGGCGCGGUGGCACAUGUGCUAGCCGGAGUCAGGCGAGAUCCCCUUCGGGUUGGCAUCCAUGGUGCGCGUGGUCUUGGUGGUUGCUCGCCGGAUUCAUAAUGUCGAUUGUGCUCGACCUUCUGGAUCAGUGUCGAGGCAGGCCGGGGAGGCAUCCCCGGGGUGCUCGUGAUGUGCUAUUGGUGGUUGUGUUUGGCCUAGCAUUGGGCGUAGCUACUGACGGCGGUGGAGUCGGACGGCCCUUCUCGGCAUGGAGUUGGGACUUGGCGGUGGUGGUCAUCUCCUCCGUUGGAGAUGGUCGGCCUGAGGCUAGGUGGUCGGAUCUCCAAAUCCGUCAUCUAGUCCCGCCUGCAAGCCGGGGAGACAUGGUUGCCGGUUAAAACUGAGCCUAUGGCGGCGUUAUGCGUCGUUACAUUGAUGAAGGCAUCGUCGUUUGUCGACCCACUCGUGUUGUUCCGGGGGAAAUCCUAGAUCUGGCCUUCUAGAUCGGACUAUGGUGGCACUGCGGUGUUGUUUCUCUCUUGGGAGCAUCAUCUGUGGAGCAACGCCGAAAGACAGAGGCAGGAGGUCGAGUGGCUUUGUCUUGCACGGAAUUUCAGUGGAGAUGUCAAGUCAUGUCUGACCGAGAGGUGCUACGCAGUGUCAUGCCUGUUCGGCAGGUGCUACGCACGACAAAUCUUCCGGAGGCUUCAAGCUGUGUCGGCUGGUGGUACACGGCGGCAUGGUGCUGCGGGUGUACCGGCGGCUACUGCGACGUGCUCAACAGUUUGCGCGUAGGGAGGUGGUGCCAUUGAUGGGCGGCCGGAUGGCAAGGAUGAUGCAGAUCUCUUGCCUGAAGAUGGGUCAGCGGUUCGAUGAUGCUUACGGCUUCUAAAACGUGUGCAUGUGAUGCACGCUUUAGGUUUGUUGCCUGGCUGUAGGUUUCGAUAUGUUAUGUGGAUGGAUUGGCAACGACCCCGGUAUUAGAUAUGGGGAGUGAGAGCACUCCUCAUUAUUGAGUUUGUAGGUGUGAGUGACGGCUUGGCUUGAUAUAUGUUUUUGUCAGACCUUUGUUCAAUAAUUAAUGAAAAAACUAACGCCCACACGUGUGGCAUCUUGCACAUCGCCCACACGCCUUCAUCAACACUCAUUUUGCCACGUAUGAACAAAUGACAUCAGCAGGAAUCUUUUUGAUUUUCUGCUUAAAAAUGUUUUAUCUCCUAAUUAAAAAAUCGAAUUAAAAUUCCGUUUUCACCAUUAAAUCCGUCUCGACGAGAUCUUCAAAACUAGACCCCGUGUUGAUAUGUUUCGAUGAAAUUUUGUUUUGCCCAAAAGUUGCCAUGAUGUUUACACUGUAUUUGCCAUAGUGCUUAAACUAAAGUUGCCAUGUGGCAAUUUUAGUUUGUAGAGCAUGGUAAUUUUAGUUUUUUUGAUGAUGGUAAUUCCAGUACUUUGACCAUGAAAAUUAUUUUUUAUAUGAACCAUGGCAAUUUUAAGUGCAUGUAUCACGGCAAUUUAGUUUGUGAUUCAUAGCAAGUCUAGUUUCUUAAUUCCCCGUUUUACAAUAUGUCAAAAUUUACUUUUAAAUGUAGAAGAAAAUAGCUGAAACAUAUCAUGGCAACUUCAGUGUAAACAUCAUGGAAAUUCAUAUGCGAUAGACAUGGCAACUUUUAACCCAAAAAAAUCGUCGAAAUAUAUUGAUAUGAGAUAUAGUUUUGAAGAUCUCGCCGCGAGGGAUUUAAAGGUGAAAACGGAUAUUCAAUCGAAUUUUUCAUUUAAGAUAUAAAACAUUUUAAAAACUGGAAAUUCAAAAGAAUUUUCACAUGCAUGCAUGCGGUGACGUGGCACAGUAUGUGUAUUAUAAGGCGUGUGGACGGGUUUGGCUUCCAGCGUGUGGGCGUUAGUGUUCUCCAUAAUUAAUAAAGAUGGUCAUAUGCGGCAAGGGGUCUUAACUUUUUUUAAAAGCUAGCCCUUCAAUGGUAAGGAAGGAUCAGGUCAUCAGGAUCAGAUCUGGGAUUAAUAUUUUGUUUUUGACGCUCAUAAGUUACAAGAUUAACUAAAUAGCAGGGGUAGACAGUCUGGAGGUAAUGACGGCCAGCUUGGCACGGGAAAAAGGGGGCCAGAUUCAAAUCUGCUAUCGAGAUCUGGCAGUCAGAUAAAGAGGCACGAUGGAUUAAAAUAGUUUAGCCUCCACUGCUGUUGACGCUGAUGCUCUCGAUUGUAGUGGGAACACUCAUGUCCCCACGUGCUUUUUCAAUAGUUUUAUGAUACCGAUUGCCGAUUAAAAUAUGAUAGAUUGACCGUCUUUGCAGCUAACCUGCUCGAUACAGUCCAGUCCUAAACUAUUCGGAAAAUAAGUUGAUGGGUAAGACAAUUGACGGGGAUUCUCGACCGUCCGAUUGCAUGUCCAGGCCGAUGUCCACCAUCCAUUGUAUUCAUCGCAUGUGACGAAGGCCCAGCGGCGACGACACAAACCCUAGCCGCGUUGUCACCCCCCGCCCCCAGCCGCCACCCACUCCCCUCUUUUGGCCUGCAGCCUGAGGGUCCUAACAUUGCACAUGAGGAUACGGCUCUGGUAUGUGAUCCGGAUCUAGGGAUAUGUCUUUGUUCUACUACUCCCUACGUUCUUAAAUAUAGGUUUUUAAAGAGAUUUUAAUAUGAACUGCAUGCAAAUGUAUAUAGGCGUAUUUUAGACUGUAGAUUCACUCAUUUUGCUUUGUAUGUAGUUUAUAUUAAAAUCUCUAAAAAAACAUAUAUUUAGGAACAGAGGAAGGAUACAUCGCAAGGAAUUAACUGGGAGCAGAUUUCAACCACAAGCCGGACACAAAUGUGUGGUAUGCAUAGCAUCACUCAUAUGAACACUCCGUUGUUAGCUGUUAGCUAAACAAAUAAAACUUCCGAAAACUCUCACUUCCUCUCCGGCACUCUAAAGGGCAAGAGACAUGCAUGUGUAGGCUCGGAGCAUUAAGAUGCACGUACGAAAGGCCAUGCGCUAGGAUCUCAUAGAGAAGUCGCCCAACCACAAGCGAAAACACACCACACUGCAACGCCACCACAUACCUGUUCAGUCGCCCGCUGUGUUCCCGCACGGCCGCAGCAGCCGACCACGAGUGAAGGCGGCGUCUCUCCCGUCGGCCUGUGAAGCUUUCCUUCCAGAUGGCUGCUCCUCUCACCCCUCCUUGCUCAACCUCCCACUCAAACCGCUGCAGGGAAAGCAAAGGACACCGCAGCGCCUACGCCCUCUCUAGCGCACGCAGCAAGGAGUAGCGGAGGGAAGGAGGGAAGUCGUCGGGGGAGCCUCGGUGAGAUGGGCGACCUAAGUAUUUAAUGCCGGGGCCCGGUGGGCGGAAAACUACGGGGGCUAAGCUGAGAUGGGCUGUUUUGAUUGGUUUAGAAUGAAGCGGGGCCCACCCUGAAAAUGAAGGGGGCGGAGAUUAGUGAGGGAGAGGGGUUAGUCCGUUAUAAACUCUGUACAAAUCCCCUAUAAGUUGAACCUUAAAAACGUGUAAAGUACAUUGUAAACCGUUUUUACGGUGCCAAAUUGCCCCGGCAGAGCAGACCCAUAAAUAAAACUCUAUCCUAUUAUAGUCAUUUUUUUCUUCCUUCUUUUUUUCCUUUUUUCCUCCCGUUCCGGCAGAGCCCGUCUCCGGCCACGGCGUGCCUCGCCCCGGCACCCCUGCUCGCCCCGGCGCUGCCCCGCCCUGAUUCGGGCCACAGGUGGCCUUCUCCGUCCUGCCCGUGAACGGCCUCGCCUCGGCACUGGAGGUCGAGCCGGCUGCAAUUUGGACUAGCGGCGGCAAAUUUUGAUGUACGGCGGCUUCUUCUAACGUGCGGCGACGGAUUCUGAUGAGUUCCAUGUAGAUUCCGGCGGUUUCACGGCGGCGCGUCUGCUUCGGCGAGGUUUGAGCGGUUUACAGAUCAAACUGUAUAUUGCCUUCGAGCUGUACAUAUAAUCUUCUCGCAGAUGGAUUUUCAGUGCCAUUUAAAAAGUUUAAGGGCCGAACAAGUUUUACGGGAUCUGCUGGGUGCUGUUAUUUCAUCAAAAGUGUAAACACCUUUCUUUUACGGGUUUGACCGCUUUAAGGAGUCUGCUGGAGAUGCUGUAAACCUAGCAUUACUCUAAAUAUGACAGAUGCUCGUGCACUCCUUGCUAGAACAGAGGCUAGAGAUAAGAAUAAAGCUGAGAUUCGAAGUGAAGCAACGUCUGCUCCUUUACAAUUGAAGAAGAAAGAAAUAUACAAAAUCAAGAAUUCGCAGAUCAACAAUGAAAGCAUUGAGAAGAUAUUAAUCCAACUUAUGAGAGUAGUUAUGGAAGUUGGAUUUAUGUUAAAAUGUCUAAUUGUGGUCCUUAUUUUAUUUGGUCUUGCUAUUCUAGUAUCAAAAUGUCGUUGAUGAAAUAAAAAAUGUGUUGGCAAAAAAAUGUGUGCAUACAGGCACCAGGCGGACUAGAUGUGGCUCCGCGUUGGAUGCACGGCCGGCGCAUCACAGAAAACAGGCAAACGUUGCCCCAAUGCCACCCCCAAACAGACGAAAUCCGAAUAAAAUGGACGUCCAUUCGGGGUCGUGCAUUGGAGUUUCCCUUAGUUGUCAGCUAAGGGCAUUUCUAAUCGAUCCCUUAAAAUUAAGAGAGUAUCCUGCGGAGUAAAAUUAAUGGAGUAAAAUUUGACUCCACUAUCGGUGGCCGCACCUAGCCGAUCCCCUAUACUUACUGGAGUAAAACUAAAAUUGUGUUUAUUUUGUGUCCUAACCGCAUGAACUCAUCAAGUCCAAUGUCGCCCGAGGACCCCGAAGACGUGAGGAAUUCAGUCGUGUUCAUCUCCGCACUAAGACAACAAAACAAACAAACACUAUCGAUCGAAAUGCGAAAGAGUUUUUUUUUACCUUGUAGGCAUUUCAUCGAGCACUUGGUGGCCGCGAUGCUUGUUGCCGGCUGUGGCCGCCGCCCGCACCAAAGCAUUGGCCGUAGGGGGGGCGGAGUAGCUGCACGAGGCAUCGGCCUUGGACGAGGCACCGCUUUGCCUUUCUUCACCUUCUUCGCGCCCGCCUCGACGAGCUUCGCUGCUGCCGCCGUGGCUUUCGAGCUCGUUUGGCUCGGCGGGAGGGUGGCAGGCCAUUGCCGGAGAGGUGGCCACCCGAGAGGCCAUUGACGUAGUUGGAGGAGGAGUUUGAACCCGGUGGGUUUUUUCAUCCCCAAACUCUUCUUCGGCACGGGCGGCGACGCGUGGAUGAUUUCCAUUCCCGCUGAAGGGAUGGUCAUCGGUGGGGGCGGCGGGGUGUGGUGGCUGCGGCAGCGGGAGAUAGGGUGGCGCGGGGAUGGGAGAAAGAGAGGCGUUACUUUUUCUCGGCCGCGGCAUGAGUAUAUUUAGAAAGAUUGAAGGGGAUUUUGGCAGGCAUAGUAUAAUUUUUACUCCACUACACCGGAUAGGGGAUCGACUAGGUGCAUUUUAUGGGAGGAUAACCAAAUUUAUCCUCCCUUACGGCCUUAUUGGGAUCGGUUAAAAAAUCCUAAAUGAUAAAAGUUCACAAGAAAUCUCACAUGUCCUCUCCGGCCAUCUAAACGGCAAGGUCCAUGGGUUAAGUUCGGAUCUUUGAGAUACCGGAUGGCUAUGGGCUCCCACGCCCAUGACAAAAUCGACUAUUUAGCAGGCAGAUGUAGAGGGACAUCAUAGGUAGGUAUUAGGCGGUCGCUCGAACCUAAGUUAAGUCGCGCCGAGCCUACUACUACCAUACUGUCUCCGUCCCAAAAUAAGUGUCUCAACUUUAUACUAACUAUAGUAUAAAGUAAUACUAAAAUGUUAUACUAAGAUUGAAUCACUUAUUUUAAGAUGAAGGGAGUAUUUGGCUUUUGCCGAUGUUGCUUCCAUGUGCCCACAGUUUCAUCACAAGCCAAAACGCGUGUUGAUGUAGCUUGAGCUUAAACCGUUGUGCAGAAUUUGCUUUAUCAUUUUAAAAACACGUGAUUGUUGCCUCCCCAAGGAUCGUGGCUUUCGCGUACUCGACAUCAGACGUUUCGGUAGAGCACAUAAGCUCAGCUGGAAGUGGAUUGAGUGGAGGCAACAAGACAGACAUUGGCGUGGCACUCAGACCCCGUGUGACAAGGAGGAUGUGACCCUACUCAGAGCCAGCACUACAAUACAUUUGGGGAAUGGUAGAUUGUCCAGUUUCUGGUUCGACCGCUUAUUGGACAGCGAUGCUCCGUGAUUCAUGUCGCCUGACCCAUACUUGUCAGUGUCCAGUACGUGAACUUGAUGAUUCCGAUUUGCGAUCAGAUGUCUCUGAUUCGUGGAUGCAUUGAGAAGUUGAAUUUUUGUUUUCACAAAAAACAUAGAGAAACUGAAUAGUUAAAAACCAGAAAAUGCACUGACAAAAAUACAAAUACAUUGUUCACUCUUCGUGCCAAUAAAGCUCUUAAUGAGCACCUGAAUCAUUGACAUAAUAAGGCAUAUUUUAACAUGCUCCCUCUUAUAUCCUCUUUCAUAUGAGAGAUAAGAGUAUAUAUAGAUCUGAGCCGCUAAUUUCAUUAAGUAGUGGGUUCGAGUAACUCUUACCUUCUUACCUCAUGUAAAAAGAGAAGAUAAGAGAGUGCAUGCUAAAACUGCUCAAUAUUUAAGAACGGUGGGAGUAGUAAAUACCAGGUGAGCCAAUGCUGCAUAUAGCACAGUAGGAAGUUGCUAGUGGCUGAACAAGAUUUGUGCUAAUAAACCAUGAAUUCAGUGAAACUAAUGCAAAAAGUUGCUCAUUCACACCUGAAAACAGAGCAGUAUAUUUUCGGGGGCAAGAACAUGGCAGUUGUGAAGGACAAGAGACCAAAAAAAGAAAACUAGUUGCACUGCGGUUUGUGUAGAUGAAGCAUCUAAGCCGGAGCGAAACGGGAAUUAGAAGCAGCUUAGCCCUUCAAUAGUGAAUAAAGUAUCAGGUCAUCAAGACCAGAUCUGCGAUUAAUCUAUUUUUGUUGACUGUCAAGAAGUAGUAACAAGACUAAGUAAACGGCGCGGUUUCAAAAGUUUUUAAUCUUGAGGUAAUGCCGUGCAGUUUGGCACGGGAAACAGGAGCCAGAUUCAAAUCUGCGAUCGAGAUCUUGCACCCACAUGAAAAGGCACGAUGAGUUAAAAUAGUUUAGCCUCCACUGCUCUUCACGCUGAUGCUCUCGAUUGUAGUGCAACGCUCAUGUCUCCACGUGCUCUUUCAAUAGUUUUAUGAUACCGAUUGCCGAUUAAAAGAGUAAAAUGCAUUGAUGAUCACUGAACUUGUCGUAUAAAUUCACUUUAGUCACUGUACUCAAGAAUACGGUCAAUACGGUCAUUAUAUACGAGGUGUGGUGAUUAUACGGUCACUAACACACCGUAUAGCUUCGUAUUUUGUUCUGUUGACCAGUCAAACAGUUUAAAUGAUGCCUCAUUUCCUCUGCCUAUCUACACGGCCCCACCUGUGAGUGACUAGGUGAAAGAAAUAGAAGCAAAAUUAAGAAUAGAAACCGUGAGGAAUUGAACCUUAAACAGAACGACAUGAGUCCAGCACGCUAGCUGGCUGAGCCAACGACGCUUCGUGGCUAAAUUGGAGAACGGAGUCUUAUUAAUUAAUGUAUAUCGUUCUGCAAUCACGUGACAUCCAUGAUCAUGCGGCCGAAAGCUCUUUCUUCUCCUCAGGCUCUUCUUUUCUUCCUCCUUUUCCCAAGCUAGAGCAGAGCUCCUAAUUAAAUUAUGGCAAAGACAAAAGGAAGUACUGCUUGUAAAUAUUUAGCUGUGUGUUGAAUUGUUUCCCUGUUUUGUAAACGGAGCGGCAAAGUACAGAAAGAUGGCGUUUGCAUCAUCGUGUCCUGGGCAUAAAGUUGAGAGAUCUGCCAUGACAUGCAUCAAGUUUCCAAACAAAACCCAUUUUCCCCUCCUGUUUCGAAGCAAGAGCUCCUUCAAAUUAUAUUAAGACAAUGGCAAAAGAUACAAAAUAGUAGUACCUGUACGUUAUAAAGUUUGUGUCGUGCACCUGUGCACCUGUGGCGUUCUCAAAAAAAAAAAAAAAUCUAGUGGCCGGUCUGGUUCAAGACCUGCCUCAAGUAGCGUAUGGCAUGUGUGUGCGCGUUAAUGUCUGCAUGUGUUUAAUAAAGGAACAUGUGAAGAAAUAAAACAUAUAUUGUUGUCUUUUCAACUGGCCAGCGCACGACUGCUGUUAGUGUGCGUGUUCGGGUUCGAUUCCCCCGGGCGUUUUUAUUUUUGCCUCUGCUUCUUUCUUACACUCAGUGACAAGUGGGUCCCAUAUAGAUCGAGAGAGAAAAUGAGCUGACAAUGCACCAUUCAAACUGUUUGACCGGUCAACUAAAACAAAUACAAAACAAUACGGUGUGACAGUGACCGUACAAUAACCGCAACUCGUAUAUGAGGACCGUAUUGAUCGUAUUUUUAAGUACAGUGACCAAAAUGAGCGUAUACAGUAAGUUCAAUGACCACCGAUGCAUUUUACUCCGAUUAAAAUAUGACAAAUUGACCGUCUUUGCCGCUAACCUGCUCGAUACAGUUCAGUCCUAAACUAUUCGGAAAAGAAGAUGGUGGGUAAGACAAUUGUCAGGGAUUAUCAACGGUUCGAUUGCGUGUCUUGCCCGAUCUCCACCGUCCGUUGUAUUCACCGUGUGAAAUGAAAGCCCAGCGCCCACGGUACAAACCCUAGCCGCGUCUUCCCUCUCUCGGCCCCCAUCCCAGCCGCCACCCACUCCCGUCUUCCGGCCUGCAUCCUGAGGGGUUCUAGGAUACGGCUCUUGUAUGAUCCGGAUCUAGGGAUAUGUCUUUGUUCUACUACUACUACUACAAAAGAAUUAACUGGCAGAGCAGAUUUCAACCACAAAUCGGACACAAAUGUAUGGUAUGCAUAGCAUCACUCAUAUGACCACUCCGUUGUUAGCUGUUAGCUAAACAAUAAAACUUUUCAAAAACUCUCACUUCCUCUCCGGACGCUGAAGUGAAAGAGACAUGCACGCGUAGGCUCGGAGCUUUGAGAUACACCCACGGAAGGCCAUGCGCUAGGAUCUCGUACAGAGGCAUCGAGCGGUCGCUCAACCACUCGCGCCGAGCCAUGACAAGAAAAAACACACCACGAUGCAACGCCACCACAUACCUGUUCAGUCGCCCGCCGUGUUCCCGCACGGCCGCCAGCAGCCGGCCACGACGUGAUGGCGGCGUCUCUCCCGUCGGCCUGUGAAGCUUCCCUUCCCGAUGGCGGCUCCUCUCACCCCUUCUUGCUCAACCUCCCACUCAAACGCUGCAGGGGAAGCCAAGGAGAACACCGCAGCGCCUACGCCCUCUCUACCGCGUCCAGCGAGGACUAGGGGAGGGAAGGAGGUAAAG
rnacentral:lncRNA from 1 species